CCUAUUUUCGUUGGUUUAGGUACUUCAGUAAUGAUGAAUAGAAACGGUUAGGGGCAUUUGUAUUUGGUCGCUAGAGGUGAAAUUCUUGGAUUGA
rnacentral:rRNA from 1 species